rnacentral:rRNA from 1 species
UACGUAGGGGGCUAGCGUUGUCCGGAUUUAUUGGGCGUAAAGAGCGUGUAGGCGGCCAGGUAGGUCUGCUGUGAAAACUCGAGGCUCAACCUCGAGACGUCGGCGGAAACCAUCUGGCUAGAGUCCGGAAGAGGAGAGUGGAAUUCCUGGUGUAGCGGUGAAAUGCGCAGAUAUCAGGAAGAACACCCGUGGCGAAGGCGGCUCUGGGCCACUACUGACGCUGAGAAGCGAAAGCAUGGGGAGCGAACAGG